GAGUGUGUGAAACCUAGAGGCCGGGAUGAGCAGGGUGACACUGCCGACAGUGACAGUGAUAGCUUCACUGUGGAGGGACUUCAGAAUCUCCUCCCAAGGAAGCCAGAGCAAGAACCAGCAGAAAGGGCCCCAAAGGGUGGCUGCAGUAACCCGCGGAAACCAACUUGGGAGGAGGAGCCCACCAAAGGCAUGGAACUCCAGGCAGGCAGUGCCAGCUUCAAGGAGCCACCAUGCAGGCAGGACCCCGAGGCUGCUCAAGGAUCUGACCGAGUGUGUGAAUUGGAGGCAGCAAUGGUUCAGGGACCUGGAGACAAAGACCCCUGGGCCCUGGGCAAGCCUUGGCCUGAGUGUGAGGUUUCCAACCCUCUUCCGUAUCUGCCACCAGCCUCAUAGCAACAGGUUGAUGAUCUGCCCUGACGGCUGUGAGGAGUGGUUCCAUGUUGACUGUGUGGGGAUUUUUGAGGCUCGGGGAUGGCUCUUGGAGAGGAAUGGGGCUGAUCAUGUUGACCUGAACUGCACCAACCUGCAAGCACAGGAGGAGAGGAUGUCAGAAGCCACUGAUGACCAGGAGCCUGGAUGCAAAUCCAGAGGUGCUGGCAACACACAGGACAAGAGCAGAGGGCCAGUGAGCUGAAGUACAGUGCCAACCAGGGGAGCAGGAGUGAAAGUGAGGAAACCUCAAGCCCCAGGGGCAAGGAGGCCAUGAAGAUGUCCACGCCUGUGAAUAUUUGUCUGCCCAGUUAGCAUGCAGGGUGACCUUGCUGGCUGUGGACAGAAACACCAGACCCUGAGCUGUGCCCCCUUUGUGUAAGACUGGCUUUUGCUGGGUUGGACACUGUGCAUGGCACAAGGUGGCCCACAAGGGAAGCAGCCUUCACUCAAAUCUGUCUGAGCCUCUCAAGAUCCCCACAAGAGUGUGAACUUAGGCAGAGACAGGGCAGCAAACCAACUCAGUGAGAUCCUGUCUCAAAACAGAAAAGAGGAGGGGCUGGGGUUGAGGCUGGGGCUCAGUGCGAAGGUCCUGCACCCAUAUCUGAGCACUGCAGAAAAUGAAGCAAAUUCAGUCAGAUAUAGGAGGUUAUUCUAACCAUGGUGGCCAUGCCUUUUACCAGGCUGGCUCAGAGUCUCCCGAUGGGAAAGGUCCAGUCCCUCCUUAAGAACUUUCACCCUAAAAAAAUAAAUAAAUAAAUAAAUAAAAUAAAAUAAAAAGAACUUUCACCUGAUUCGGUCUGAACAUUUUUGACUCCGCGUUAUCUCACCAGAACCUGCCCGUGUGGUCCCAGGGACCCAGCUGUUGGCCCCUGGAUGUCCUCAGCAGUGCUCAAGCUGAAGGGGAGGGA
rnacentral:lncRNA from 1 species